UUAAAUCAAGUAACAGGGGACCCUGCUACACCCUUUCCAACCAUACAACUGAUGGAUACUGACUGGAAAAUGGCAAUCAUAGGAGGAGG